rnacentral:rRNA from 1 species
GAUGAACGCUGGCGGCGUGCUUAACACAUGCAAGUCGAGCGAAGCACUUUGAAUUUUUCGGAAUGAGAAGUGACUGAGCGGCGGACGGGUGAGUAACGCGUGGGUAACCUGCCUCAUACAGGGGGAUAACAGUUAGAAAUGACUGCUAAUACCGCAUAAGCGCACGUCAUCGCAUGAUGGUGUGUGAAAAACUCCGGUGGUAUGAGAUGGAUCCGCGUCUGAUUAGCUAGUUGGUAAGGUAACGGCUUACCAAGGCAACGAUCAGUAGCCGACCUGAGAGGGUGACCGGCCACAUUGGGACUGAGACACGGCCCAA